AAUUCUUAAUGAAUCACACGCAAAUGUGGAGUAGAUAAAUAUUAGUUUUCUUGGUAUUUUACCGUUAGCUUUGUACUUAUUUAUAUUACUAUUUAUUAAACCAUUAUCUGCUUAGUUACUCAAACACUCAUUCACAGUUAUUACUUAUAAAUUCAUAUGUAACGGAAAUAACAGCGAAAUAAUUACAUCUGUUCAAAAUACUAAGAAAAUUAAACAAAUACCGAUGAAGAAUGAAACAUCGUUUAAUAUAGCAAGUAGUUAGAAUUCUAUAAAUAAAUCCUUUUAUGUGCAUGUAGGCAACCGUUUGAUAAAGGCUAUUCAUACUCCAAAAGUGUCUAAAUUUAUGACCAAUGCGCAAUAGUCAAGGCCUGGUGGCCGUUGUCUGUAGUAGGCGCCUGCCUGGCUCAGAGUGAAUCACCGAUUUGAACACUGCAAUACGGAAUCAGAAUUACCAUGAAUGGUAAUGUGGACUUUGUUCACGCGUACCUGAUUAUGCAGUACAAACUUAUCAGAAUCGUAAAGUUCCACAGACUUUAGGACAUCGGAGCACAACAUGUUUUAGUAUUUACAUCUAUUUUGAUACGAAUCAGGCAAGCUUAGCGCAUUCGCUAGCAAGUAGAGUCAUUAGCUUGGGUGGGGCAUUUAGGUUUCUGGUGACUAAAGGGCAACAUUAAAAACAAACCGUACUUACCUAACAAUAUCGAAAUAGUCAUCAAAAGAGGAAAAAACAUCUGACGAGACACAAGGAAAAUAGACUGCUUUGUGUGAUGUGUAGGCUUGAUUUGGAGUAGUACCUUCCCAGGUUUUGUCAAAGAGUAAGAGGAAUCUACUCAAAUAGAGACUUAGUUACCUUAAAAAUGAUAAUUAUUUGCAGUAUAUAAAAGUACUCAAAGGGACAAUUAUUUUUUCCAUGAAUAGUUAUUAAACUGAAACGUAAUCUCGGUCAGUGUGUAAAUGAUGUAUGCAAUUGUGUUAGUUUGUGUAAGGCUGCUUGUUUACAGCUUACGUGGGUACACCGUUAUCAAUCCCUCCUGUUGACUCGGAUAGCUUACAGGAAAAGAUAAGCAACAUUUCGCGCCUGCCCACAACAAGAGCCCUGCCUCCACCAUCCACCCUGCUCAACAUGCAGAAAUCUAAAUGCAUUUGUAUUAUAUCCUUAGAGAUUAGAAAUUCCGUCCUUGACAUUCAUACUAACUCUCUAAGAUAGGGUAAAUUCGUUAGAGAUGGCCAGACGGCAGAGAUGGCCAGUCGAAUUAUUUUGAUGGCGCUCAAAUGCAGCUAGUACGCUGCGAGCUACGCCCGGAACCACUGCAACAAAACUACUGUGCAAAUUUAUAUUAAAAAAUGCCAAAUAAGUAUCAAAGAAAAGCCAUAGGCACUCGUGGUCAUUGGAGUGAAGAUAAACUAAAAGCUGCUAUUAAGUCCAUAAAAAAUGGAGAAAUGUCUGUGUAAAGUACUCGUCUUAUUGAAGACUGAGUUCAGUGUCUUAUUUUGUGACAGAUGGCUACAUGAAAACUGUACUGAAUUUGAGGAUAUGUGCUCCCUAGUGGGCAGAAGAAGAAAAAUAAAAAAAAACGUAAAGGAAAGGGAAAAGGGAAAUCUAGCACUGGUCAUCUAUUCCGCAUAGCUACGGCCAACUCACCCUGAUGGCCUGGGAGAAAUGACCAAUUCCACUUUUUUUUCAAUUGAUUUAUUUAAAAGUUCCUGAAUUAUAAAACUUAAUCUGUUGUUGAUGUUUGUAAGACUAAUUACUGUAAAUUAUGAUAAAGAAUAAAGGCUGAUUGUAACAACA